rnacentral:rRNA from 1 species
CCUACGGGUGGCAGCAGUGGGGAAUAUUGCGCAAUGGGCGAAAGCCUGACGCAGCGACGCCGCGUGAGGGAUGAAGGUCUUCGGAUCGUAAACCUCUGUCAGCAGGGAAGAACGGUCACUGUGCUAAUCAUCAGUGAAUUGACGGUACCUGCAAAGGAAGCACCGGCUAACUCCGUGCCAGCAGCCGCGGUAAUACGGAGGGUGCGAGCGUUAAUCGGAAUUACUGGGCGUAAAGCGCUCGUAGGCGGUAUGUCAAGUCAAGGGUGAAAUCCCCGGGCUCAACGUGGGAACUGCCUUUGAAACUGGCAAACUGGAGUGUGUGAGAGGAUAGUGGAAGUCCAGGUGUAGGAGUGAAAUGCGUAGAUAUCUGGAGGAACAUCAGUGGCGAAGGCGACUAUCUGGCACAUAACUGACGCUGAGGAGCGAAAGCGUGGGUAGCAAACAGGAUUAGAUACCCUGGUAGUC